rnacentral:lncRNA from 7 species
GGUUUGUGUUGGAAGAGUCCUGGAAGAUGAUAGAACCACAGGAUGGUGUGGGUUGGAAGGGUCCUUAGUGAUCAUAGAAUCACAGAAUGGUUCUUUGAAACAGCUGUGAAGGAUCUGUGAGCAAAUCCGCCGUCAGUAGUUGGUGCCGCGGGAAGGCCUGAGGUCCGACCUUUCCUCCAACGGCUUCAGUGUAACUUUGGAAAGACAGUGCUCACACCUGGUUUGUUCUAUCUGCCAGGACGUCACUCAGCUGCGUUGCGACGGCGACGGCGCGCCCUCAUUCAUGGCACGGCGUACAGCCGUCCGCGUGACGACGGCGCACGCGUGGCUGUGUAUCCAUAACAGCCGCGCUUCAGCGCGGCUGUCCCCUUUGGAUGCUGCCAUGGCGCGUCGUCCCACGCUGUGACGUCAUCGCCUUGCGCCCGGGUGAGGCGGCGGCCUCGAGGUUGUCCUGCUGUGCUCCGCAGUGCUCCAACGCCGCGGGGCGGCUCCGGGCGCCGCCUCAGCUUCUACAGGAGAGACGUUGUGGGUGA